UCAAUGUCAAAUGGCCGGUUUAUGAAAUUAGUACUUAACAACACUUGUCCGGGUAUAACUUAUAACCAUCACGGAAGGAUAUUCAAACAAUUUUGCAAAAGUAAUCAGCAUAAUUAAACGGAGUGUCGCACGCAAAAACAAAAUCACUGAGUCUUAAGUCCAAGGUCAAAAAUCAAGGCCAAAGAUCAAACAAUGUUCUUACCGCAUUAAGGGUUUUGAAAUGCUUUAUAGUAGCUACACGCAUACUGAGUGGCGCACACUAUAACCAAAUUCCAAGGUUGAAGUCAGGUCACAAUUUCAGGUCCAAGAAAAAAUAAAAGAAAUCAAUUAAGACUUUGUCCAAUCCUUUUCUGAUUUAUUGUUUACUGAUAAGCGUAUCUUUGCGACAAUGGCACUUUUGUUUACCUUUUUUAUUUUAGAUUGGUUGUGACCAAAACCAUUGGCUAAAUUUGUUCUCUAUACAUGUAUACCUUUUCGGUAAUUCGUUUUAGUAUAGUAUCGUUCAUUUUAGUCCGAUUGUUUUAAUCAGGGACCUAUACAAACAGAUGUAAAUUUAUGUUGACAUCUAGAUGCUAUAUUAGGUCUGGUUGUUAUAUGUUUAGACUUGUAUUUAUAACGAAUAAAGUUAUUGAACACAUUGCCCAUUUAUUCAGUUGGCAUACAUUGUGGUGAAUUGUGUGAUACAUUUAUUUGGCAUGUUUUCAAUUGAUAAUAAUACAUGUACUACUAGUAUUUCAAUACUAAGAUAUUGUCAUACUUUUUAACGAGAGAAAACAAGCUAUCCGAACAUAUAAUACUAUACUUAUUAUCUGUUACUCUUUAAAUCACAUAGCGUUCUUUUAUUUAACCCCCCGCAUCUCUAAUUCCUUUUUCCAGACGUGGAUAUCCAUCUUCAAGAACAUCCACACCACGAACGCCGCUCCCGUCAUCAUCUCCGCUAUCUGCAUUUUGGUCCUUUAUCUGGUCAAAGCCCAGGUCAACGAGAGGUUCAAGGCAAAGCUCCCGGUCCCCAUUCCCAUCGAAAUCGUUGUGGUAAUACUUUCUACAAUCGCUUGCCACUUCGGAAAGUUCCCCGAAAAGUUUAAGGUCUAAGUCGUUUGAGUCAUUCCCAAAGGCCUUCCGGUCCUUAGCACCCCUGUUUUUUUUCCGGCGUGGACACUUAUUUCACUGAGGUCAUCGUAAUAGCAGUCGUCUCCUUUGCGCAAUCCGUUUCGCUGUCGGCCAUUAUGGCUAAGAAAAACAAAUACGGAAUCAACUAAAAUCAGGAAUUCAUAGCGUACGGAAUCGCUAACGUGUUAAGUGCGUUCUUCUUAUGCUUUCCUGGUUCUGCCUCCGUUGCCGGUACGUCCUUACAGGAUGGGGCAGGCGGCAAGACACAGAUCGCCAGUCUGAUCUCGGCUGGUUUGGUGCUGAUAAUCAUCUUGUGGCUGGGUUCGCUCUUCACUAACCUUCCUAAUUGCGCCUUGGCUUCGAUCAUCCUUGUUGCCAUCCGAGGUCUAUUCUUACAGCUGUUGGACAUACCGAAAGUCUGGAGGACAUCCAGAUAUGAUUGCUUCAUCUUUGUGGUGACCUACGUGGUGACGGCUCUUGUGCACAUCGACAUGGGGCUCCUGGUCGGCAUUAUGUUCGCAUUCUUCACAGUGGUCCUGAGGACACAAGUCGGUAAACCAAUGCACUUGGCCAAGGUAUCAGAUGAGAAGGUGUACAUGGACCCCAAGU